CAAGGGUAUGGCUGUUCGCCAUUUAAAGUGGUACGUGAGCUGGGUUCAGAACGUCGUGAGACAGUUUGGUCCCUAUCUGCCGUGGGUGUUCGAAGCUUGAGAGGAUCUGUCCCUAGUACGAGAGGACCGGGAUGGACAUACCUCUGGUGGACCUGUCGUGGCGCCAGCCGCGCAGCAGGGUAGCUAAGUAUGGAAUAGAUAACCGCUGAAAGCAUCUAAGCGGGAAACUAACCUCAAAACAAGGCUUCGCUGAGGAUCGUGGAAGACUACCACGUUGAUAGGCCAGGUGUGGAAGCGCGGUGACGUGUGAAGCUUACUGGUACUAAUAAUCCGAUCGGCUUGAUCGU
rnacentral:rRNA from 1 species